CCUACGGGUGGCAGCAGUGGGGAAUAUUGGACAAUCGGGGCAACCCUGAUCCAGCCAUGCCGCGUGUGUGAAGAAGGCCCUCGGGUUGUAAAGCACUUUCAGUGAGGAAGAACGCCUGGUGGUUAAUACCCAUCAGGAAAGACAUCACUCACAGAAGAAGCACCGGCUAACUCCGUGCCAGCAGCCGCGGUAAUACGGAGGGUGCGAGCGUUAAUCGGAAUUACUGGGCGUAAAGCGCGCGUAGGUGGCUUGAUAAGCCGGUUGUGAAAGCCCCGGGCUCAACCUGGGAACGGCAUCCGGAACUGUCAAGCUAGAGUGCAGGAGAGGAAGGUAGAAUUCCCGGUGUAGCGGUGAAAUGCGUAGAGAUCGGGAGGAAUACCAGUGGCGAAGGCGGCCUUCUGGACUGACACUGACACUGAGGUGCGAAAGCGUGGGUAGCAAACAGGAUUAGAUACCCUUGUAGUC
rnacentral:rRNA from 1 species